rnacentral:rRNA from 1 species
UACGUAGGCAGCGAGCGUUGUUCGGAGUUACUGGGCGUAAAGAGUGUGUAGGCGGUGUUCUAAGUUUGGUGUGAAAUCUCCCGGCUCAACUGGGAGGGUGCGCCGAAAACUGGAAUGCUAGAGUAUGGGAGAGGUAAGCGGAAUUCCUGGUGUAGCGGUGAAAUGCGUAGAUAUCAGGAGGAACACCUGUGGUGUAGACAGCUUACUGGACCAUCACUGACGCUGAGACACGAAAGCGUGGGUAGCAAACAGG